rnacentral:rRNA from 1 species
UGGGGAAUUUUGGACAAUGGGGGAAACCCUGAUCCAGCCAUCCCGCGUGUGCGAUGAAGGCCUUCGGGUUGUAAAGCACUUUUGGCAGGAAAGAAACGUCAUGGGUUAAUACCCCGUGAAACUGACGGUACCUGCAGAAUAAGCACCGGCUAACUACGUGCCAGCAGCCGCGGUAAUACGUAGGGUGCAAGCGUUAAACGGAAUUACUGGGCGUAAAGCGUGCGCAGGCGGUUCGGAAAGAAAGAUGUGAAAUCCCAGAGCUCAACUUUGGAACUGCAUUUUUAACUACCGGGCUAGAGUGUGGCAGAGGGAGGUGGAAUUCCGCGUGGAGCAGUGAAAUGCGUAGAUAUGCGGAGGAACACCGAUGGCGAAGGCAGCCUCCUGGGAUAACACUGACGCUCAUGCACGAAAGCGUGGGGAGCAAACAGG